UUCCAUAUAUAUGAGCGCGUGAUUGCCUUGCUGCCUUUGAUUUGUUAAGCAAUUCAUGGUUAAAGGUUAAGUAUUCUUCCAACUUUCCUGCUUGGGAUAUGUCUUUUAAUGAAUGGCAGAACAUUCUUCAUUUUGGCGAUGGCAUCUUGUGCUUGGCCAACUCCUGUGCUUCUUUUAGUCCCCCCCUGUCCACACUAAUAUUCGGUUUGUCAAAUUAAGACUUCAGCGGAUCUCUUCUCAACACCUGCUGCUCGUCACUUUCGUUUCUUCCCAAUGCUUUCGAUUUCAAGGCUACUUGAGAGCCAACAGCUUCUUCCUUCUUUAGGUGCAAAAGUUAUCCGGAUACCAAAUCUUUCUUACAUCAAGAUAACGGCUCUCCCUUUAGUCGAAGUUACUGAUGCAUUGGUCUUUGAUGAUUUCUGCUUGCUUGCUUCUAAGCUAUAUGUUUUCCGAAUGAUGAUCCGUGGUUUGUAAUAUUGUGACUUUUUUUUUUUGUCAGACUUAUUGUGACUAUUUUAUUGUGACAAUUUUAUGUAACCUGCAUCUUUAAACAAUUUAUGCACCUUGGUCACUACGAUUAGGAGUAAUUUUACAUCA